UAGGCUGCAACUCGCCUACACGAAGUUGGAAUUGCUAGUAAUCGUGGAUCAGCAUGCCACGGUGAAUACGUUCCCGGGUCUUGUACACACCGCCCGUCACACCAUGGGAGCUGGUAACACCCGAAGUCAGUAGUCUAACCGCAAGGAGGACGCUGCCGAAGGUGGGAUUAGCGACUGGGGUGAAGUCGUAACAAGGUAAC
rnacentral:rRNA from 1 species